rnacentral:rRNA from 1 species
GAUGAACGCUGGCGGCGUGCCUAAUACAUGCCAGUCGAGCGAACGGACGAGAAGCUUGCUUCUCUGAUGUUAGCGGCGGACGGGUGAGUAACACGUGGAUAACCUACCUAUAAGACUGGGAUAACUUCGGGAAACCGUAGCUAAUACCGGAUAAUAUUUUGAACCGCAUGGUUCAAAAGUGAAAGACGGUCUUGCUGUCACUUAUAGAUGGAUCCGCGCUGCAUUAGCUAGUUGGUAGGGUAACGGCUUACCAAGGCAACGAUGCAUAGCCGACCUGAGAGGGUGGUCGGCCACACUGGAACUGAGACACGGUCCAGACUCCUACGGGAGGCAGCAGUAGGGAAUCUUCCGCAAUGGGCGAAAGCCUGACGGAGCAACGCCGCGUGAGUGAUGAAGGUCUUCGGAUCGUAAAACUCUGUUAUUAGGGAAGAACAUAUGUGUAAGUAACUGUGCACAUCUUGACGGUACCUAAUCAGAAAGCCACGGCUAACUACGUG